AGCGGAGGAACAUGUGGUUUAAUUCGAUGAUACGCGAGGAACCUUACCCGGGCUUGAAUUGCAGAGGAAGGAUUUGGAGACAAUGACGCCCUUCGGGGUCUCUGUGAAGGUGCUGCAUGGUUGUCGUCAGCUCGUGCCGUGAGGUGUCGGCUUAAAGUGCCAUAACGAGCGCAACCCCUCUCCUUAGUUGCCAUCAGGUGAAGCUGGGCACUCUGGGGACACUGCCACCGUAAGGUGUGA
rnacentral:rRNA from 1 species